rnacentral:lncRNA from 1 species
UGCCAAUAACAAUGGUUUCAACCAAUUACUCUGCUGAGAACACCUCAACCACACCUUCUCCAGUAGUUGUACCAAAUUCUCCCACGAUUCUCACCAUAAAUAACAAUGAGCAGUUGAUCAAUAUCAACAUUGUUGCUAGGCACCUCUAAAGCUCAACAAUACAAACUAUCAGUCAUGGAAAUACCAAUGGGAAACCAUCCUCACUACAUAUGAUUUCCUCCACUUUAUUGAACAAUCACCAAGUUCAACCACACCUUAUUUGUUGUUUACUCUCUUGUAUAAAUACACAUACAUAAUAAUAAAAUAAACACUUCUCUCCAACAGUAAAGUCUAUAUGGUAUCAAGAACCUAAAAGCAUCACUGCAUUUUUUUUUUCUUCCUGAACAUUUGUGUUUUCCUGCUGCCAAUAACAAUGGUUUCAACCAAUUACUCUGCUGAGAACACCUCAACCACACCUUCUCCAGUAGUUGUACCAAAUUCUCCCAUGAUUCUCACCAUAAAUAACAAUGAGCUGUUGAUCAAUAUCAACAUUGUUGCUAGGCACCUCUAAAGCUCAACAGUACAAACUAUCAGUCAUGGAAAUACUAAUGGGAAACCAUCCUUACUACAUAUGAUUUCCUCCACUUUAUUGAACAAUCACCAAGUUCAACCACACCUUAUUUGUUGUUUACUCUCUUGUAUAAAUACACAUACAUAAUAAUAAAAUAAACACUUCUCUCCAACAGUAAAGUCUAUAUGGUAUCAAGAACCUAAAAGCAUCACUGCAUUUUUUUUUUCUUCCUGAACAUUUGUGUUUUCCUGCUGCCAAUAACAAUGGUUUCAACCAAUUACUCUGCUGAGAACACCUCAACCACACCUUCUCCAGUAGUUGUACCAAAUUCUCCCAUGAUUCUCACCAUAAAUAACAAUGAGCUGUUGAUCAAUAUCAACAUUGUUGCUAGGCACCUCUAAAGCUCAACAGUACAAACUAUCAGUCAUGGAAAUACUAAUGGGAAACCAUCCUUACUACAUAUGAUUUCCUCCACUUUAUUGAACAAUCACCAAGUUCAACCACACCUUAUUUGUUGUUUACUCUCUUGUAUAAAUACACAUACAUAAUAAUAAAAUAAACACUUCUCUCCAACAGUAAAGUCUAUAUGGUAUCAAGAACCUAAAAGCAUCACUGCAUUUUUUUUUUCUUCCUGAACAUUUGUGUUUUCCUGCUGCCAAUAACAAUGGUUUCAACCAAUUACUCUGCUGAGAACACCUCAACCACACCUUCUCCAGUAGUUGUACCAAAUUCUCCCAUGAUUCUCACCAUAAAUAACAAUGAGCUGUUGAUCAAUAUCAACAUUGUUGCUAGGCACCUCUAAAGCUCAACAGUACAAACUAUCAGUCAUGGAAAUACUAAUGGGAAACCAUCCUUACUACAUAUGAUUUCCUCCACUUUAUUGAACAAUCACCAAGUUCA